rnacentral:rRNA from 1 species
UUUAGCAAGUAAAAUACGAGCAAAGAGCCCUUUAGUUUGUAACCCCGAAACUGAGCGAGCUACUCCAAGACAGCCUAUUAGGGCAACCCCGUCUCUGUGGCAAAAGAGUGGGAAGAGCUUUGAGUAGAGGUGAUAAACCUACCGAGCACAGUUAUAGCUGGUUGCCUGAGAAAUGAAUAGGAGUUCAGCCCUUUAAGAUUCCCCUCCCACCCAUGCGCAUGCUAGAGUUGAUAAAGGAAACUAAAGGAGUUAAUCAAAAGGGGUACAGCCCUUUUGAUAAAAGAAACAACUUUAACAGGUGGUUCAGGAUCAUAUUACACAAGGACUUCAAAUUAAGUGGGCCUAAAAGCAGCCAUCUUAACAGAAAGCGUUAAAGCUCAAAUUAGAAAUAAUCCUCAUAUACUGAUAGUCUGUCCUCCCCCCUGCCCUAUAUCAGGCUGUCCUAUGCCCCCAUAGGAACAAUUAUGCUAAA